GGGAACUUGGUCAGUUUCAACUUUUUCCUUGACUCCCCAUCACAUUUAAUUGGCGAGGAAAUCAAGACACGGAGAGAGGUUGGGGGAAGGAGCAGGAGUGACAUUCUCUGAGCGUCGGCUCUGUGGUAGCUGUGUGGACAAGAUCUCUCUCGCUUAAUUGUCACAGCAGCCUCGUUGCUGAGGUAAGUGGUUUUGUCUCCAUUUUACAGGUUAACGCAUAGAGGCUGAGGGUAGUCUCUGAGGGAAAGGGUAGGGGCAAAGCUGGGGUUUGAAUCCGAACCUGCUGUUUUCUUGGCUUUGCAGGCUUCUAGGUUUUUCCCAUUUGGCUUCAGUGGGCCCAGGGUGAAGAUUUUGUGGCUGGGCCCAUGGACACAAGGUUUUUAUGGCCCUUCUGCUCAGAAAGGACGGCCCUCCCCUAGGCCUCUCGCAGAGGGCAGCUUGGGGGCCCCGGGGCAAUGGGCUGGGCAGCUCCGUCAGGCUUGAAGCUGAGGGCCCCAGGGCUGGAAGGAGGGUCCUGGGACGAGCAGCUGUGCCAAGACCCCUUAACUAAGAGUGAAAAGAGGAUUGGGUGUCUUUAUAAACUGAACUCAGGAGAAGAUCCAAAGGGCAAGGGUUUUCCUGGAAAAGAAAGCAAGUCCUGGAAGGUUUUUGUUUUGUUUUUCUUCUUAAUGGGACCCUGGUUAAUGACUCAAGGAAAUGAAGAACACAUUUCACCAAGAAUUAGUCACUGCCUUUCUCAACCCGCCCUCCAUCUUGCUGCCCCGUUGGAAACCUUCAGGACUGACUUCCUGCAGACAAAGAUCCAAACCCCGUGUCUUGUUCAUGUCGGGUCUGGCUCGGCCUUAUCUUUCACUUGUCCCGUUUAAACAAACUACUUAGUGGUAAUCUAUACACUCCUCCUCGAUUCCACCACUGGGCAUGUGUCCACACAGUUCCCCCUCUCUGAAAAGACUUCGUUUCAGCUUCUGCUUGUCUUCCUCCUUCUUUAGGACCCAGCUCAGAGGCUGCCUUCUCCAUGGAACCUUCUCUACUGCGUCCAGCAGGGACCAUGCUGCCUCGGGCUGGCCUUAUGGAUACAUGUGCCAGUUCUCCUCGGAGACCGGAACUCUUGAGAAACAGUGGUGGAGGCACCUUUGAUUCCCCUGUGUGAGCACGUGUGUGUGUGUCCUUCAUACUACUUAGCGGUAUGGUGUAAUGGCAAAUGCCCCGAGACCCUUGGGGCUGCCUUUAGAUUAGAGCUGAGCAAAUUUUGUGUUGGGGUGAGCUCUUGUGUGGCCCCCUUUCUCAAGUCAAGAAAGAGGGGCUUCUUUGCACCUGAAACUAAUAUAAUAUUGUAUGUUAAUUAUACUGAAAGAGAGAGAGAAGGACGGAGAGAGACAGAUGUUCCCUGGAGUCUACUCAAAAAGCUUAAUAUGUGUCUGUGGUAGUUUGAG
rnacentral:lncRNA from 1 species